rnacentral:sRNA from 1 species
UGAAAUGCCAUACUUAAUUUGUUAAAUAUAGAGUUGUAAUACAGUGUAUAUCGUAAUAUACCUGUAAUUGUAUAUAAUGUAUAAAAACAUGAUUUCUUAAAAUUAAUCUAUUACAACUUUACUGAAAAUUAACACAUGUUGUAGAGAUGAUGUAAAAUUCAAUUCAUUUGUCACAGUAUUGUUAGCAUGUGUAGCAGAUACUGUUGAAAUGAAAUGUAAUUGUCAUAUCAAGAAUUUUUUAUACAAGACAUCACUUGACAUUAUUAGUUAAUUUUUAGUCUGAAUAGAGACGCAUGAUUUUUUGGAAAAGAACAUGAUUUUACUUCUAAAAACAUUCAAUAUUUUGACAAGUUGCAAUUUCUUUUGUGUUAUCAAGGUAAUAUUUUUGUAGCCAACUCAUACAGUUGAUUUGAUCUUUUAUGGGUUGCAUGAUUGGCCCUAUACAUGUAUGUUCAUUUCUCGUUUACAGUGCACAUAUGUACACGUAAUCGUUAUAUGUAUUUGCUAAUGUACAUGAAUGUACCAUCAAUUUUAUUGAUAGAACGAUACAUUCUGUUGAUUAUUUAAUUUAUAUGUAGCCUGUUGUGAAGAAAUAGUUGAUGUGUAUACAACAUGUGUACAUGUACAAUCACAAUGUUGUUGGUCACAAUAACACGAUUUACUUUAAUAUGAAAAGUACAUGUUAUGUGUGCUUGCUAAAGUUAUAAUAUGUGAAGUAUAAUGGGUGAUACUAAUUUUUACAUGUAUUUCAUCCAUGUUUGUAAGCACUUUAGUGAGAUAUGUACAAAUCUUUGUUACAUGUACAAGUAAAGGUACAAAUCAUUGGAUUUAAAUUAUAAUAAAUGAUAUUAUUUUGUACAUUAUAUUAUCUCUCUGUGAACACUUAAAUAUUUUGGAACAUGUAGCUAGGAAACAUGGACAUUUCAAUACACACACACAUAAAUAUAUUAUAAGAAAAAAAAUUGCUGCAAUGUUAAAUACUAGUUAGUUUUAAACUUGUACAUGCUGUUUGUAUUUGGACUAAAAUAUAUAAUAUAUUUAACUGGUUACUGAGAAAAUGCAUUGAAUGAAUGAAUUUCUGAAUUU